GUUUUUUUUCUAUUCUAUAAUAUGUCUAGAAUAGCAUUACCUGUAUAUGAAACAUCGGAGGGGGGAGGGGGGGGGCAACACGGCAGACCUCUAUAUAAAACUAUUAUUCACUGUAUAUAAUUUUAUUAAAAAUAUACUCUUUUUAUCCUUCUCGCUCAAUAUCCUUGGAAUUUUAAGCAUUUAACUUUGUGAUAUCGAGGACGAAUGCGGGGAAAUAGACCAGGAUAAACGAUCAGUUCGAUGUCGGUGAUUGCUGGCUUGGUUAUUAUCAUUGUAGUUCAUUUUAGCAGCUUAGUCAUUUGUGUUGAUUACAAAUCUUUUAUUUAUUUUUUUAUUUUCUUAAUGUUUAAUAGAAUCUAGUGUAUUUCAUAAUUUAACAGAAUUUGGUACAUUUUAUAUUACUUGAGUUAGCUUCAGUUGAAAGCUAUUUCAAAUUACCGUAUUUCAUUUUCUCUUCUUGGUCUUAAAAGGUCUUUCUAAGCACAUUUUCGAUUAAUUAGCUCUCGUUCAUACACCUUUUUGCAGUUUUUUAAUUUUUAAAUCUGCGUGUAAAAUUUAUUGAAUAUAUAUAUAUAUAUAUAUAUACACACACACGUGCGCGCGUCUGUGUGUGUGUAUGUGUGUGUGCAUUUUUUUCGAGCAAUUGCAUUUUUAUCUACGCGAGUUUGUUUUAUUUCCUAAAAGGAAAAAAAUCGUAAUUUCAUCAAUAUUUUAACAGAAUUUAGUACAUUUUAUAUUGCUUGACUUAGCGUAACUUGAAAGCUAUUUCAAAUUACCGUGUUCUGCAUAAACUUAUUCCGUUUUCCUCUUUUGUUAUUCGUUUCUCAUUCAUGCAAACAUUGCAUUUUUGUCUGCAUUAUUGCCUUUGUUUUUCUGUUCUAUAACGUGUCUAGAAUGUUUAGGCAUUAUAUGAAACAUCGGAGGAAAUUGAUGAUAAGAAGGUAAAUUGACUCUGUUUAUCCUUCUCGCUCGAUAUCCUUGGAAUUUUAAGCAUUUAACUUUAUGAUAUCGAGGACGAAUGCGGGAAAAUAGAACAGGAUUAUCAUUGUAGUUCAUUUUAGUAGCUUAGUAAUUUGUGUUGAUAACAAAUCUUUUAUUUAUUUGUUUAUUUUUGUACUCAGUAUUCUUUUUCUCGCUUCUUUCCUUUUUUCUGCAAUCUUUCUGCUGAGUCUUUGUUGCAAUGCAUUUCACCCAUACAACACUGAAGUCAUAGAAAACAAUAUAAUGUAAGAAAGGUAAAAUGUAGAUGCUUUGACCUGAUUUACCUCCGCUUGGUAGCUAUUUCAAGUCAUUAUGUCCAACCAUAUUUUUUCUUGGCGUUCGUAUCUCGUAUUUUGUUUUUCGCUUUUCAUUCACACAACUUCCAUUCUUCUGGGGAAAAAAAGAAUAUAAGAAUUUUAUAAUGUCGAAUUUUACUAAAGUCAUCAGUACUCAUUAAUGCAUUUACUUGAUUAACAUCAUUUUAAAAUCUCUUAUUUCUUGAGUUAACUUCUUACACACUUCUAACCAUACUGAGGUUUAUGACAAAAAGUCACAAAAUCAAUAUUCCUGUUUUUUAUUUAUUUAUUUUUUAUUUUUUUUUUUAUUAUUUUUUUUUUUUACCUGAAUUGCUGUAGCUUUGACUGAAAGCUAUUGCAAAUUACUCUGUUCAUCCCUGAUUUAUCUUCGCGUUUGUCUAUUCGUACUGUAAUACAUUCUGUUUGUGUUUCUCAUCCAUGUUGUUAUAACAUUUUCUUUUAUUAUUUGUUUUGUUCAUGUAUUCAUUGUUGGUGUUUUUGUUUUUAUUUUUUCUUAAUAUUGCUAGAAAAUUAAUUGCAUUGUAUUGAGUUACCUAGUUGAAAAGUAUUACAAAUUAUAUAUGUAGUUGUAAUUAUCAACAGCUAUAUAUAUAUAUAUAUAUAUAUAUAUAUAUAUAGAUAGAUAGAUAGAUAUAUACACAUCAUAUAUCUAUGCAACAGCAUAGAAUUGUCAUUGUUAUAUUGGUUGUUAUCGUUAUUGUAUUUAGAAGAGUAACAACAAGCAGGCUUAGGCUAUACAGGCGGAAGCCGAGGCGCCACCCUGCACAAGAGGCCGCCCAUCCAUAUUUUCUGCAGUGUGUCCAUCAUAGACACUUUAUUGUCAGAACAAAUAGAAAUGACAGUUGGUAUAUAAAAGGUAAUUUACUUACAUUAACAUGUUCGUUAUAUAUCACCUACAGUACAGUGUAAUUAUUGUUAGCAAUGUAUCAUAACGGUGGUGCUGCAUUUUGUUUUUUUGUUUUGUUUUGUUUGUGAAACUAUUUCUAAAUCAACAAGUGAAAUGAUCUAGUCAUAUUUUUUCGUCAGUUACAAUCAUUGUAUUUUCUUAAAUCCACAAAGUAUGAAAUGUUCCUGCAUUUAUUCAGAUUUCACCUUUUGAAAUAAUGUAUUAUUGGUUUAAAUAAGUAUUUUUACUAAUAUAUCAUGGUUACAUUUUAAGGAGAAUGUGUAUCAACAGUGUAGAUGCAUAUCAUAUACCUACAGAAUAUAUUAUCAUUGAUCAUUAUUUAUUGUAUACGUUUGUGUAUAAAAUGUGUGUGCAAAUUGGCUCGGUGUUCACCAUAGAAGAGAUGCACUCUCAAAAUUAUGACUCAUGAUAGCCAUUGAUAUCUUUGUUAAUUAUUGUUUUUGUUAGGAUUUUGUUACGGAAGAGAGAGAGAGAGAGAGAGAGAGAGAGAGAGAGAGAGAGAGAGAGAGAGAGCAAUUGUAACUUGAUUUUCAACACAGAAGGUAGAUUUUCAAGGGAUAUCUUUUAUUAUAAUCAAAGCAUGAUCUGCAAGUGUGGACUCCGAGUGACCAUUUCAAGUGUGACAUUUUGAUCUCUUCAUGCCUGAUCUCAGUUCUAAUAUGUGACCGUUUCCAAGUAUGACCUGAGCAUCCAAAACCAAAUCAGAGUUCCUUCAAAACGAUAGGCCGCGAACGUUAUUCCAAGGCUGACCUUCACCUCCAAGAAUGAAAUAUACUCCAAGACGCAAAGCAACCAAUGCCUUCAAGUGUUAGUCCAGAGUGGAAAACCCUCAAGUGUGACCUUCAUCUCUAAGUGUGAAGUUCUCGUCCAGGAGUGACUAAUACUUGUCCAAAGCGCCGAACGACCAGCACCUUCAAGUGUUUGUUCAGAGUGUGGCCAUCUCAAGUGUGACCUACAAUACCGAGGAUGAGAGGAAACAUCAAGUAUUAAGAAUUGACCCCGGGACGUCACACUUGAGCACUAAAUGACACACGUGGCCAUGGGACGCAGGCUUUGAAACGCCACAGGACGGCAUGAAGGAAAACUUCAAACUUAGCCUGGAGCUCUGAGUUUGAUAUUGUUAUUAUAUCUUAUAGUUAUGACUAUUAUUGUCAUUACUAUUGUUAUCAUUAUUGUUAUUAUUAUCAUUUUUUAUAGUUUCUUGUUUGGUGUUCACACUUCUGUCUACGUCAUUCAGAAGACAGCCAUGUUAUAUGUUCAUUGAUAUCUUGGAUCAAAGGCUAGUGGGAAAAGGUCAGUUACACACUUUAAAUGUCAUGAGCAGACGUCACAUUUUUAGGUCAUACUUUGAUAUCACUCUGCAAAUGUUAUGUUUAUUUUAGUUUUAUUUGAAACUUUUUUUUUUUUUUUUUUUUUUUUUUUUUGAAGUCUUCGUUGAUUUCCAUCUUGUUAGGAGUAUAUUUUUGUCUAUAAAUAAUAUAUGUAUGCUCUAAUUUCUAUCUUCAUUUCAUUUUAUUUUUAUUUUUUUGAGUUAUAAGUUUUGAGUUUUUAAUAAAAAAAAUAUAUAUUUCAUAUUCCUUUCGGUUUUAGCUUAUAUAACUAUUUCGUUUUUUUGGUCAUCUAAUGUUACAUGUACAAUAUUUGGUUGAAAAUAAAAGAUGUACAUUUGG